rnacentral:rRNA from 1 species
GACGAACGCUGGCGGCGUGCUUAACACAUGCAAGUCGAACGGAAAGGCCCUGCUUUUGUGGGGUGCUCGAGUGGCGAACGGGUGAGUAACACGUGAGUAACCUGCCCUUGACUUUGGGAUAACUUCAGGAAACUGGGGCUAAUACCGGAUAGGAGCUCCUGCUGCAUGGUGGGGGUUGGAAAGUUUCGGCGGUUGGGGAUGGACUCGCGGCUUAUCAGCUUGUUGGUGGGGUAGUGGCUUACCAAGGCUUUGACGGGUAGCCGGCCUGAGAGGGUGACCGGCAAAAUUGGGACUGGGAUACGGCCCAGCUCCCUAGGGGGGGAAGAGGUGGGGAAAAUUGAAAAAGGGGCGGAAGCUUGAUGAAGCACCGCCGGGUGGGGGAUGACGGCCUUCGGGUGGUAACCGGCUUCGGCUUGGGACGAGGCGUGGGUGAGGGUAUUGGGUAAAGAAGAACCGGUUAAUUAGGU